rnacentral:sRNA from 1 species
AAGCUGUGAUGAAUUAUAAUGCGCUGCUCGGUGAUAUUCAAGCUGGUAACUAUCAUGAGAAGUAUCGUAUGGAAAUGAUCGAGUCGCUU